rnacentral:lncRNA from 1 species
GAUGUGUGGGUUAUAUACUUAUGUAUGUAUUCAUAAGUUGCACUUACGUUCUCCUGCAAAUGAGAAAGUAUCGUAUGCAGAUUACAUUUAGUCAGAAUGAAAUUGUUGUAACAUAUAUAAAAUAGUCUUCUGUAUGUCUUUUCAUUAUGGUAAUUUACUGACCAGUAUAUGUCCUCAUCAGUACCACUGAUCAAAGUCGUUUAGACUACUAGUACUAGUCUGGUUUGGCGAAAGUACAAUAAUAUCAAGUAUGAAGCAAAUGAUUUAGGAAGAGUUUUUUUUUUGUUUUUUUAAGAGGUAAUAGUACAAUGGAGGCGUUGCGGCGAAGAAUGAAAUAUAUUGUGAGAAUGCUAAAAGUGUUAUGUCAGGACGAGAAGAUGGAGAAGCAUGUGUAGGGUGUACCAGGACAUGUUCAUGAUUCAUGAAGGUGAAAUGGCAGCAUGUUCUUAUGCCUGAAUAAUAAGACUAUUGUCCUAUCAAUUUAAAUCAGCAGUUUAA